rnacentral:lncRNA from 10 species
UCAAAAUAAUUAUUUUAUGAUUUAAUUAUUUAAUUGAAUUUUAAUUCUCAUGUGUAUUUAUUAAAUGUUAUAGUUGUUUAUUAUUAAAUUUUAUUAAAUUGAACUUAUUAUGGACAAGCUUCCCUGUGUUUUGUGAAAACUCUACCAUUGUUUGAAUAUUAACAUUGUAACAUUCGUGAAGCACAUAUUCAGCACACAGGAACCACUACAAUCAGCCUUUGAAACAAAUGAAUGUGACAUUGUCUCUGCCUUUGGGAAGUGUUGCAUAACUUUAAAACAUGUUAAUAACUAACAGCAUAAUUAAUACAGUAAACUGAUUGGCUAUGGCCUUGUGCUAGAAUCCCAGAACUUUCUAAUAAAUGGGAACACCUAUUAUAUGAGCCUAGAGGCCCCAUAGUCCCUGUGGUCAGGAACGCCUCACUUUUAACUAUGAAAAAUUCCCCCAAUUGAUAGUCACUUUAACUAAGAACUCUAAAACCCAGAGAUAAGAAUUCGAUAGUCCUGUGUUUCUCUUACUGGUUACUCACACUCUGGAAGACUCCAGUGAUGGAUUCAAGAAUACCAUACGGUGGCCGGGCACGGUGGCUCACUCCUGUAAUCCCAGCACUUUGGGAGGCCGAGGCGGGCUGAUCAUGAGGUCAGGAGAUCCAGACCAUCCUGGCUAACACAGUGAAACCCCGUCUCCACUAAAAAUACAAAAAAUUAGCCGGGCGUGGUGGCGGGUGCCUGUAGUCCCUGCUGCUGGGGAGGCUGAGGCAGGAGAAUGGCGUGAACCCGG